AUUUACGAGGAAAAAUUUGAGCUGAUUGCAACCUCACAAAAAAAUGCUAAAACAGAUUUU
rfam:Chryseobacterium koreense CCTG 49689 contig04, whole genome shotgun sequence.